rnacentral:rRNA from 1 species
CCUACGGGGGGCAGCAGUGGGGGAUAUUGCACAAUGGGGGGAACCCUGAUGCAGCGACGCCGCGUGGGUGAAGGAGCGUUUCGGCGCGUAAAGCCCUAUCGGCAGGGAAGAAGGUGACGGUACCUGACGAAGAAGCCCCGGUGAACUACGUGCCAGCAGCCGCGGUAAUACGUAGGGGGGAAGCGGUAUCCGGAUUUAAUGGGGGGAAAGGGGGCGCAGACGGGAAUGCAAGGCAGGAGGUAAAGCCCGGGGCCCAACCCCGGGACUGCUGUUGGAACUGCAUGGCUGGAGUACAGGAGGGGCAGGCGGAAUUCCUAGUGUAGCGGUGAAAUGCGUAGAUAUUAGGAGGAACACCGAUGGCGAAGGCGGCCUGCUGGACUGUGACUGACGUUGAGGCCCGAAGGCGUGGGGAGCAAACAGGAUUAGAUACCCGGGUAGUC